UCCUUGGUAAGACCUGAACAACAGAUUUUUUUUGUUUCAUCCUUUUUGGAUGUCCAGAAAUUGAGAUAUAUCUUAUUAGUACUUUUGUUCUUAGAAGGAUAAAGCUUUGUUUCCAUCCUGAAAGAUAUUAUUUGAAGUUUUUUAUUUUUCACUUCUAGCACGUUGUUUCAGAUUUCUCGCGAUUAUUAUUUUCAUGCAGAUUCUGCUCUGAAAUAAUUAUGUGCAAUAAUUUCAAGGUACAACCGGAAAGAAUAUCAGAUUAAGCAACGGUCCUCUGCCUACCAUAUUGCUCGAUUACAUGAUAUUGUCAAUCACCAAAUGGAUUUCAUCUUCCAAAGGCAAUCCAUUCAGGACAUAACUAUUGGGCAAAGCCAAGAUCCUAAAGAGGUCAAGAGGCAGAGAGAUAGGGAGUGGUAUGCAAAAACUAAAAGAUGAGAUUUCAGAGCGCAAAUUUUUGAAAAUGGCCUGCUGCCACGGAGGCUUGUGGGGAGAAUACCUUUGGGAAACUCUAUAUGAUUGGUUUUAUUUUAAUUUUUCAAUCUUGAUUAUGAUCUCAAAACAUCGCAGAGAAAUUUGACGUUUCAGAGUGGCCUGGUCACCAU